rnacentral:misc_RNA from 1 species
AAGUCGUAACAAGGUAUCCGUAGGUGAACCUGCGGAUGGAUCAUUAUCACGUUAUCCACGUUUAUCAACCAUUGUGAACUGUAACUACCUUCUUGACAAAAAAAAUAAUGACCACAAUUCGAGAGAGUUUUGGUUGGUUUUUUGUUAAAGAUUGUAAACUUUAUUUUAACUAUUUAAACCCAAAACCUAUAAACUUUGACUUACUUAUUUCAUACUCUUUAAACGGAGAUGAAAUUUCAUUACGAAACAUAAGAACAACUCUUAGCAACGGAUAUCUUGGUUCUC